GUCUACGGCCAUACCACCCUGAACGCGCCCGAUCUCGUCUGAUCUCGGAAGCUAAGCAGGGUCGGGCCUGGUUAGUACUUGGAUGGGAAGAGUCACCACAUGCAUUGAUGGUA
rnacentral:rRNA from 1 species